rnacentral:rRNA from 1 species
GUGGGGAAUCUUGCGCAAUGGGCGAAAGCCUGACGCAGCCAUGCCGCGUGAAUGAUGAAGGUCUUAGGAUUGUAAAAUUCUUUCACCGGGGACGAUAAUGACGGUACCCGGAGAAGAAGCCCCGGCUAACUUCGUGCCAGCAGCCGCGGUAAUACGAAGGGGGCUAGCGUUGCUCGGAAUUACUGGGCGUAAAGGGCGCGUAGGCGGACAGUUUAGUCAGAGGUGAAAGCCCAGGGCUCAACCUUGGAAUUGCCUUUGAUACUGGCUGUCUUGAGUACGGGGGAGGUGAGGGGAACUCCGAGUGUAGAGGUGAAAUUCGUAGAUAUUAGGAAGAACACCAGUGGCGAAGGCGACUCACUGGCCCGUUACUGACGCUGAGGCGCGAAAGCGUGGGGAGCAAACAGGAUUAGAAACCCCAGUAGUCC